GCAGCAAGCAGCGCCCUGGGAGGCGUUGCUGGAAGUGAGUGGCCAAGAGCCCAGGAUGGGUGCCCAGGCCGGCUGCAGAGGCAGAGAAAGGCAAAGACAUAGACGCUGGACCACGCAGCUGCAGGAAGCCGGGCGGAUGGGAAAAAGCCAGAGAGGGAUUUGGAAGGGAAGGAGUGUGUGUGGAGAGCGGGCAGCGCUAGAGAACUAAGGAUCCGGAGCUUUAGCGCGCAACUGGUCCCCAGAGCCCGGACCUGGCUAUCGGGUGGGAGGGGGAGGGGAAGGGGUUCGCUGAAGGUGGAGGAAUAAGUUCAAGGGCUGAAGCUAAGCGGAAAAUGGAAGGCAACCUUUCCGAGAACCAGGAUGGGUGAGGACAGUCGAGCUGAGGGAACAGUAAUGAGAAAGCUGGAGCGGCAAAGAAGGAGAAAAAACACAGAUUGAAGAGUGAGACCAUGGAAGGGUGAGAAAUAUAUUCUGAAAAGAAAAACGAAGAAAGUAAAAUGCAUCUGGAACUUAAAAUUCGAUAUGGGGGUGGGGGGAGUCACGCUAGAGAGAACUUGUCCCCGAUACUGCCAAGAGAGAUAGGGAAAAAAAAAAAAAAAGCACCAAGCUUACUGGAAGAACAGAAAAGAAGGAGGGGAGAAAAGAGAGGAGACAAACCAGACAAGAAAUAAGUGAGACACUGAGAGACCCUUCAAACACAUCAGUCUUCAUCCCUGGUCCUGCACAGAAUAGCUCUUUGGACCCUAACAACUGUUUAUUAAAGCUCAUCAUUAAACAAAUUUCAAGGGGUGUGCUUAAGCACUGACUCUCAAAAAAAGACCUGCUCAACAGCAGCUUUACCUCUGACCGUCCAAUCCAGGCUCUGUUCUGGUGAAUUCCCACCUGGCUACAAAGCACCUAUAUUAUUUUGUGCCUACUAGAUGAAAGUAAAUUGAUUUUCUUUGGGGUGAAUAACAAGACACCUCAAGCAGGUCUUGUCCCAUGAAAAAAGUGUCUGUGGUACAACCAUGCACUCACUUACAUUUUAUCCCUUCAUUACAGUGCAUUUUUGAUGCAUACAGUGCAUUUUGCACACUGAUGCUUUUGAACUGUGGUGUUAGAGAAGACUCUUGAGAGUCCCUUGGACUGCAAGAAGA